rfam:Defluviitoga tunisiensis isolate L3 genome assembly, chromosome: I
AUGCGAAGAUGGAGACAUCGGAGCUAAAACUGUCAGAAGUCAGCAGAGGCCAUAGUACUUAAAAAAAAGAUAAGGAAGGGC